rnacentral:rRNA from 1 species
GCCUAUGAGCCAAACAACUCAGAAUGUGCCCGAUCUUGUCAAUCUUGCAAGCUAAGUAGAGUUAAACCUGGUUAAUGCUUGGAUAAGUGACCGCUGGGCAUACAACGGGUGUUAUAGGCU